CAGCCUUCCUGCAUACCUUCAUCCAAGAGAGAUGGCCCCAGUUUUGGAAGGAGCCACCGUGCCAGGACCUGUCUGCAGGGCUGAGAGCUGUGAUGAUGAGCAGCAGAAGCAUUUCACGGGCAAUUGGAGAUAAAUACCAGCGCCGUGCAAUGAACAGCAAGAGACAGCUGCAGGUAGGGGCUGGGACAGUGCCUGUGCAGAGCAGGGGGGGCUGUGAGCUCUCUUAUCUCAGUGCCCCCAGCCACGCUCCCAUUGCUCACAGGGCUGGGGAUCACCCCUUGUCACAGGGCUGCCCACAGGACAGACAGACAGGUGGGGUGGUCACCACACAGAGGGUGCUGAGCAUCCCUGGGGCAAACAGGAGGAUGGAGACAGGAGGAGGGGGGGCAUUUUGGAGCCCAGCAGCCAAAUGGGCACAGCUGUAGCCCGGUCUCAGAGAGCUCAGCUAAGGAAGGCUCUCCCUCUGCAAGCUGCUCAUAUUUACUCAUCUGCUUAAUGAACUCCACUUGGAGCAGCUGCAGGGAUGAGUCACGCAGUAUUUCAAGGCAGCAAGUAGUGACAGUGCUGUGCUGGCGUCAGGUGCAGCUCAGGCCAGGGGGCAGGGAGUACCAUGCAGUUUGGGAUCUCAUUCUCAGCACUCUGAGCAGAAGGCUGAGCAAUGCUUGCUGGAUGGCUGUGAGCCCCUUUUUCUUCUUUGGGCUGUGACAAAGUGUGACCUGUGCCUUUCCUUGCUGUGGACCGGUGCCCUGAUACAGCCCUUCUGUUGUGCUGCCCUUGGGGACAUGGCCAGCAGCACGUGGUGACCUUGGAGCUGCCAAACCCACAGUCCCAGGGAGGAUGCUGGGAUCCCUGCGCUCCCAGGGCUGGGAAUGCAAACCCAGCAAAGAAGCUUGAUGCCUUUAAAUCCCCCAUCAAAGCACUUUCCCUUCAGUUGCAUUCACCAUUAGACACCCUUCAAGUGUUAGCAAUAUUAUGCCACAAUUUCAUUAUCCAUUAAAGCCAGGUAAUAAUAAGUACACCAAGGUAUUUGGAGCCCAUUGGCGUUAAUGGAGGAGAUCCAUCUCAUUCCGAGCAGGUACAGCAGCCGCGCGUCAGAGAUGCGAUAUUACCCAAGGUGAGGCAGGAAUUGCCUUGCUGAGAGCAAACCCAACAGUAUUUAAUCUUGCAUGCCUGUCUUUAUGGCACAGUGUGAGCCUGGUGCCCGAUUUGCUGCUUUUCUCCCCCUUUUAUUUUGCUGCUGCACCUUCCUGACCUGGUUAGGUGGGAACACACCCCAGUUCAGGGGCAUUUCUUCCUAUCCUUGCUUUUUAGGGGAGGCUUGGUGCAUCCCCAGCAGUAGAGGUGCACCAGGAGCUGUGCAAAUGCCAAGCACUUUAAGGCACAAGCAUUUCAAAAUGGAAUUUCUCAUCAGUGCCUGCUGCUUUU
rnacentral:lncRNA from 1 species